UAUAUUCACGCGUGGUCUACAUGGGCUUGCUACAGUCAUUUAAGCAUUGUUUGAAAUGCAGUAUUUGUGACCACUUCGGUUAGAGAAAAUACGAAAUCAGGAAAAAUUAAAAUCUAUUUUUUGGGUAAUUAACUGAAAGGAGGAGUUAAUAUUAAAUAAAGAAAGGGAUGAAGUGAUAAAAAAAGCUCUAAACGGAAAACCAUCAGUGCGGCCUAUGUUGGAAAAGAUUCAGUUUCGAUGUUACAGUAACCCCUCAAGCAAUCCGAAUAACUGCAUAAGAAUGUCUUCACGAGGAGCCGGCAUGCAGAAAGGGAGUGGGUUCGAGUCCAAGGGUCUGAUUCUACUGCUGAUAUGUGGAUUUUACGCUGUUCUUCUGUUUAUAGUAGCUCGCUUGUUCAGCUACGCAGCCUCAAAAAUAACAACGCCAGUGAAAUCAGUUAUGUGGAGGGUAGACACAACAGAGGCUUGCACAAAGGAACUAACAGACGACAACAACAACUCUGGUCCAGUAAUGAAAUUCAAACGCCAGCAGCCACGCACCUUCUCCCAUGGUUGAAAGGACUUCAGCUGGGAAUGUUUUACCGAGUUUCAUCCAUUAAAAGUGACUGCUUAACCCUGAAAAAGGCAACUUACAACAUGCUUUUAUUCAAAACAAGCAGACAACAUGAAAAAAAUUCGCGUCUGUGACUUUGUUCCUAUUAAAGCGAAUCUGUUAAGACAAGACUUAGUGGUUUCCCGUGCCAUUACAGCCACACUGUCAACCAGAGUUGGACAAUUUUAUACAUUAACAAGAAGAAUAAUGUUCAAAAGGACUUUUGUGCACUAGCUAUUUUAUGAAAGUGUAGAGAAUUUUGUCCCAGAUAUCGUCCGACGUCUGGUACACGUGAACGACCAAGCUGUCACUUGUUAGUAAAAUACUCAUUACAUGUAAAUAUGGCAAUGAACUUGAUAACGCCGUGCAUGUGUGCACUGACAUUGAACUUUAAAAUUGACUUUACGUUUAUAAAAAUAGGGACAAAAACUGAUAGCCGGAUCAGGCCAUAUUUGGCCAGUAACGUAUAUAGUUGGGCCGUGAUGUGAAGCGCCUUCUAGUGGUGCGGCCUGGAUGCAUUUGCAGUGUGUUCGUCAUUUAGUUUUUUUCCAACAUCAUCUCAAAUGCAACUUAACGCUUCCAAAAACUGUAUUUUUCACUGCAGUUCAGUAAAUCAGUUGUGUCGUCAUUUAUAUAUUUUUCAUUAUCUAUUUUUUUUUCAAACUAACUACAGUUAGCUGUGACUUUUAUGGCUUUAUUUAAUAUAAAAGCCUAUAAUAUGCUGAUUUAGUUUUAAUCUUAUAACACCUGCAUAACGGUAUUGUUAUGAUAACUUACGUGAUAAACUUAUUGUAUGUUGAUAACUUACGUGAUAGUAUGCUUGCAGCGAAGUUCUGCUGUGGUUUUUUUUGUAUACAUGCAUAUCAAAAGGUGUUGUUUUUCUAAGCGUGCAUGUUUAUAUAUGUAUGACAUGGUGUAGAUCUAGUAAUUUGCGCAACUUCAGAAUAAUUUCAUCUCGAUUUGCGGAUUUUACCGUUGGCUUACAUUUUUACGCUUUGCCGACGGUUGAAAUAGUUGCUCUGAUAUUACCGAACAAUUUGUCACGUAUUUUCGGUACUUCACUUACAGUGAUAUAGAAUCUAGUAACAAUCGUAGCAAGAUUUCAUUUGUGAAGCAACCGUUCCCUAUUAGAAAAUCCAAUGGAAGAUGAAAUUCACAAAACGGUUGUCUAAAUUUAAGUUAGACAAUGAUUAAGAUCGAUCUAUGUAGCUUUAUUUUAUUAGUUUAGUUUAUGUUAUAUACAUAAUAAGUUGUGUAGCCAUUUUUUCAGUAUUGUUCAUUACAAUGAAAUAAUGUACAUAUUUUUGUAAAUUCACAUUCUUUUACCCAUGUUUAUGUUCCAUAAAAAAUACGAAAUACCAUGAAGAAAAAGCAUAUAAUAAAAGAAAAUAUUUUUGCAA
rnacentral:misc_RNA from 1 species